UACGUAGGGUGCAAGCGUUAAUCGGAAUUACUGGGCGUAAAGCGUGCGCAGGCGGUUUUGUAAGUCAGAUGUGAAAUCCUCGGGCUUAACCUGGGAACUGCGUUUGAAACUACAAGGCUAGAGUGUGGCAGAGGGGGGUGGAAUUCCACGUGUAGCAGUGAAAUGCGUAGAGAUGUGGAGGAACACCGAUGGCGAAGGCAGCCCCCUGGGUUAACACUGACGCUCAGGCACGAAAGCGUGGGGAGCAAACAGG
rnacentral:rRNA from 1 species